CAUUUUUCUUUGGCCAGGGGUGUCAUCACACUCCUGGCCUGGAAGAAUGGGCAGUUAGCUUGUCCCAGGAACUGGUGUAUUUUUCUGUUGCUGCCAUUGUCCUGCACAAAUAUUUCAGCCUUGUGAUAAGAUUUGGCUGUUGCAGCUGCUAAGGGGACACAGGGGUGGGGGUAGAAGAAAACACAUGCCACGCUUUUGAAGUAACAGGUUAAGGGCUCAGGAGUUUGUUUGCCUUCUGUCCUUCCACACUGACAGGAGAGCCUCAUUUGCUCAUUUGGUUUAUUCUUGGAGACAUUAUGGUGAAGGCAUCCUGGAUCUUAUGAUGCACCUGGUCUCUGUGGUCAAUAAGACUGUUUGGAGAAGGACAGCAUCCCUGAGAAGCAGUAAUGGACCCCUGGCUGUCUGGCUGUCAUGUGACUUAUCGAUCAAAAGCCAUUGCCAGUCACCUCAGUUGUCAGUCUGCUCUCACUGAAGGAAGCUGGAGAAUGAACAUGGACUAUGUAAGGAAACUUCCACAUCUCCCUGACCAGACUGCCAGAAGAAAAAAGCCAACGCAGCAGGAAGAUGCCUUCACUUGACCUCUGCCUUCCAGAUGCUUCCCACUGCUUUGCUCUUUGUUACUACUUCUGUCUCAGAUAUUCUACCUGGAGUUACUUUUCCUUCUGCUUAAAAUGUCCUUUAGAAUUUUCCAAGGGUCUGCUUGUGAUGAGCUUUCCCUUUUGUUUUCCCUGAAAAUACCCUCACUCUUGGAAGAUUUAAAACAAAAAUGAACAGAUUUUGAAAUUGCUGGGAGAAACUCCAUGUUCUCCCUCCCUUGUUUGCCAGGAGAAAACAAUGAAAACUGCAGAUAUAA